rnacentral:rRNA from 1 species
CCUUUGUACACACCGCCCGUCGCUACUACCGAUUGAAUGGCUCAGUGAGGCGUCCGGACUGGCUUUGGGGAGCCGGCAACGGCACUCUAUUGCUGAGAAGUUGAUCAAACUUGGUCAUUUAGAGG